rnacentral:snoRNA from 1 species
GAGAUAUGAUGAAUACCCAAUUUGGUCCGUGUUUCUGAAUAAACCGUGACAGAUAAACCCUACCAAUCUCUGAUCUC